AUUGAACGCUGGCGGCAGGCCUAACACAUGCAAGUCGAGCGAGCGGCGGACGGGUGAGUAAUGUCUGGGAAACCGCCUGAUGGAGGGGGAUAACUAAUGGAAACGGUAGCUAAUAACGCAUACAAUCAGAUGUGCCUAGAUGGGAUUAGCUAGUAGUGGGGGUAAUGGCUCACCUAGGCGACGAUCCCUAGCUGGUCUGAGAGGAUGACCAGCAACACUGCAACGGAGAUACGGUCCCGAAUCCUACGGGAGGCAGCGGUGGGGCAUCUUGCACAGUCGGCGCAAGCCUGAUGCAGCCAUGCCGCGUGUCUGAAGAAGACCUUCGGGUUGUAAAGCACUUUAAGCGUGGAGGCGUUACCCACAGAAUAAGCACCGGCUAACUCCGUGCCAGCAGCCGCGGUAAUAC
rnacentral:rRNA from 1 species